UACGUAGGCAGCAAGCGUUGUUCGGAGUUACUGGGCGUAAAGGGUGUGUAGGCGGUUGUUUAAGUUUGGUGUGAAAUCUCCCGCUUAACUGGGAGGGUGCGCCGAAAACUGGAAGGCUUGAGUAUGGGAGAGGUAAGCGGAAUUCCCGGUGUAGCGGUGAAAUGCGUAGAUAUUGGGAGGAACACCAGUGGCGAAGGCGGCCACCUGGACCGGUUCUGACGCUGAUGCGCGAAAGCGUGGGUAGCAAACAGG
rnacentral:rRNA from 1 species